rnacentral:lncRNA from 1 species
GGGGAGGGGGAAGCUACGCAGCCUUGAUAGCAGCCGGGAACCCUGAGUCCCGGACCCGCACAGCGCAGAGGACCCCAGCAGCGCACUUGUCCCUUUCGCCCUGGCCUUGCCGCGGCGGCGGGGAGAAGAGGGUGGGACGGUCUGACCUCCGCAGCCAAUGAAAGCAGUGAGUUCCUGGUCCGAUCCCCAGCGCGACUCCUCAGUGGUCACCUCCCGGGCAACGGGCCACGGACCCUCGGCACCCCGAGACAAUUGUCAGGCGGAGGAAUGCUGCCAUCUCUAUGAAAAAAAGCCCAUGUAAGCCAGACAAGAUACCAUGGGGAGGAGAAGCAAGUUGCCUCUGUUGACAGCCCCAGAAGCAGAAGCUCACUCCCAGAAGCACAGCUGCUUAGUCAACAAGCAGCUGAUAAUACAUGUCUGAAAGAGCUCAGUUGAGACCAGAAGAAUGGUCCCACUGAGCCCAGCCUAAAUGCCUGACCAUCUCAAUUAUGAUGCUAAUAAGUUUUGGAUGGUUUGUUACACUGUAACAGCUAACUAAUACAUGCACCCAGUGCAGAUAAGAUGCCAGGCUUCAAUGACAGCCUGAUUACUAGUUACCUUCUAAUAGUGGGCACCCUAAAAGUACUAAUUUUUUCCCCCUGAUUUAAAGUUGAAUGUCUUGUAAGAUAAUGUUGAGAAAUGCAGAAAUACAUGUGGACAUGUAUACAUGUGAUUGGUGAUUAUACUCACACAGCACCACAUACAACAGGAGAAAACAGAAAACCACAGCCUGACCAUUAGGGCCGAGGCCAAAUAGCAACAUGAGUUUGCCUUUUUCUAUUUUCUCUGUUUCUAAACAUUGGAGGCCUAUACUGUGUACAGAUCUAAAGACAUAGAGUUUGCUUAUCCUGUGACCUCAUCAUUCUUUGUUCAUGUCUAAUCUCUUGAAGAAAGGUGAGCAACUGGUGGCCAGCAGUGCUUGUAACCUCAGUACCUGAGGUAAUUUUAUUCCUGCUGUCCUCUGCUCUUUUUAUGGCCACUAUCUGUUUCAUCCUUGGAACUGAAGAGAGAUGUUGGUAGGGAGAGGCUCUUGCCGCACCUUUGGCAGAAAAGGGAUGUUCAGGCCCUUCACCUCCUGGGGGAAUGUAGAGGGGUUUCCAGGAAGCCCACUUGAAGUCUGAAUUUAAAGUGAAAGUCCAGCCAGGCCAGGCGCGGUGGCUCACGCCUGUAAUCCCAGCACUUUGAGAGGCUGAAAUGGGUGGAUCACCUGAGGCCAGGAGUUCA